rnacentral:rRNA from 1 species
CACUGUCACUCCUACGGGGAGGCAGCAGUGGGGAAUAUUGCACAAUGGGCGCAAGCCUGAUGCAGCCAUGCCGCGUGUGUGAAGAAGGCCUUCGGGUUGUAAAGCACUUUCAGUAAGGAGGAAAGGUUAGUAGUUAAUACCUGCUAGCUGUGACGUUACUUACAGAAGAAGCACCGGCUAACUCCGUGCCAGCAGCCGCGGUAAUACGGAGGGUGCGAGCGUUAAUCGGAAUUACUGGGCGUAAAGCGUACGCAGGCGGUUUGUUAAGCGAGAUGUGAAAGCCCCGGGCUCAACCUGGGAACUGCAUUUCGAACUGGCAAACUAGAGUGUGAUAGAGGGUGGUAGAAUUUCAGGUGUAGCGGUGAAAAUGCGUAGAGAUCUGAAGGAAUACCGAUGGCGAAGGCAGCCACCUGGGUCAACACUGACGCUCAUGUACGAAAGCGUGGGGAGCAAACGGGAUUAGAUACCCUGGUAG